rnacentral:rRNA from 1 species
GACGAACGCUGGCGGCGUGCUUAACACAUGCAAGUCGAGCGGUAAGGCCCUUUCGGGGGUACACGAGCGGCGAACGGGUGAGUAACACGUGGGUGACCUGCCCUCAGCUCUGGGAUAAGCCUGGGAAACUGGGUCUAAUACCGGAUAUGACUCCAUGACGCAUGUUGUGGGGUGGAAAGCCUUGUGCGGCUGAGGAUGGGCCCGCGGCCUAUCAGCUUGUUGGUGGGGUGANGGCCUACCAAGGCGACGACGGGUAGCCGGCCUGAGAGGGCGACCGGCCACACUGGGACUGAGACACGGCCCAGACUCCUACGGGAGGCAUCAGUGGGGAAUCUUGCGCAAUGGGCGAAAGCCUGACGCAGCGACGCCGCGUGAGGGAUGACGGCCUGG